rnacentral:rRNA from 1 species
UCAGUAACACGUAGUCAACAUGCCCAGGGGACGUGGAUAACCUCGGGAAACUGAGGAUAAACCGCGAUAGGCCAUGAUUUCUGGAAUGGUUCAUGGCUGAAAUCUAUAUGGCCCCUGGAUUGGACUGCGCCGAUCAGGCUGUUGGUGAGGUAAUGGCCCACCAAACCUGUAACCGGUACGGGCUCUGAGAGGAGGAGCCCGGAGAUGGGCACUGAGACAAGGGCCCAGGCCCUAUGGGGCGCAGCAGGCGCGAAAUCUCUGCAAUAGGCGAAAGCUUGACAGGGUUACUCUGAGUGAUUCCCGUUAAGGGGAUCUUUUGGCACCUUUAAAAAUGGUGCAGAAUAAGGGGUGGGCAAGUCUGGUGCCAGC